rnacentral:rRNA from 1 species
UACGUAGGGUGCGAGCGUUGCCCGGAUUUAUUGGGCGUAAAGGGCGCGUAGGCGGCCACCGCAAGUCGACUGUGAAAUCUCCGGGCUUAACUCGGAAAGGUCAGCCGAUACUGCGGGGCUAGAGUGCAGAAGGGGCAACUGGAAUUCUCGGUGUAGCGGUGAAAUGCGUAGAUAUCGAGAGGAACACCUGCGGCGAAGGCGGGUUGCUGGGCUGACACUGACGCUGAGGAGCGAAAGAGUGGGGAGCGAACAGG